rnacentral:rRNA from 1 species
AUUGAACGCUGGCGGCAGGCCUAACACAUGCAAGUCGAGCGAGCGGCGGACGGGUGAGUAAUGUAUGGGGAUCUGCCUGAUGGCGGGGGCUAACUAGGGGAAACGGUAGAAAAUGCCGCAUACCAUCAGAUGAACCCAUGUGGGAUUAGCUAGUCGGUAGGGUAACGGCUUACCUAGGCGACGAUCCCUAGCUGGUCUGAGAGGAUGAGCAGCCACACUGGGACUGAGACACGGCCCAGACUCCUACGGGAGGCAGCAGUGGGGAAUAUUGCGCAAUGGGCGAAAGCCUGAUCCAGCCAUGCCGCGUGUAUGAAGAAGGCCUUCGGGUUGUAAAGCACUUUCAGUCGGGAGGCGUUACCGACAGAAGAAGCACCGGCUAACUCCGUGCCAGCAGCCGCGGUAAUAC